GAAGAUGAUGAUGAUGACGAUGACGAUGACGAUGACAUAUAUGAGGAUGAGGACGAAGACGAGGAUUCACUUUAUGCUUUGUUUGUAGGAGGGAAAGAUGAAAAAGAUGAAAUUAGUGGAGAGGAGGAAAAGUCUGGGCAUGACAGUGAAGAAGAUGACGACGACGAUGAUGAUGACGACGAAAAGGAAGAAGAUGAAGAAGAGAAUAGGAAAGGUGAAAAGCGAAAAAGAGAGACAGAUGAUGAAGGGGAUGAAGAUGAUGACUAAAGUCUUCUGUGUCUCCAAAGGACUGUUGAGUAUUUCUUGGGGUACCCCUUGGAUGAUCUGUGACUUGAGGAGCACGUGUGGCGCACCUGUAGUUCUCCCCCUCCAAGCGCAGCACUCAAAAAAGCCAAAGAGUCGGCUAUUCCCGUGACAUUCCAUGUAUCCUGCAGCUGAUUUCUCCAGGUGGUUACAGACCUAGCCUUCUUGGGCUAGCACCUUCCCUUAUCCUUUUGGGGGUUCCCAGGCCUUCAUCUCUUCCCAUUGCCCUAGCAAGAAGAACAAGUGUGAUGGGCCAGUCCUGGUUAUAGGGGCUCCACACCACCCACUGACUGUACUUCCCUUUUUACUCUCUGUGCAACGAGGCUUUGUAAAUAGAGUCCUAAAGUUUUGGGGACUGUUCUUCAUGCUUUGCUUUCCCUGCCUUUUUCCUUUUCUAAGCCGUUGGAUAUUUUUUACAUUAGGAUGUUUUAUGCAACAAACAGAAAAAGUAUUUUUAAGAACUUGAAUUAAAUAAACAUUAUUUGAUAAACUAAUCUUGCAGUUAUUAUAUUCAGAGAGGUUUGAAAAUCUGUGCCUUUUUUUUUUUGCUUAAAAGUUGGUAGACAGGGUUGUGAAUAUUCUGCAUUUGUGAAAUAAAACAAAAUCUGGAUUCUUUGAUCUAGGAAGGUUGUUUAGGUUAGGUAAUUUAUUUUGCUAGGCAAGUAAAUUAACCCAGGAAGCCUUGCUUCAUCUUUCUCCCCAGCUUCACAGAUUGCUGUAUUACUAGUACAAUUCACAGCAUAAGUAAAUUUAGAAAAGUAAAUUUUAGUAAAUUUGACUUUGAUGUUAAUGUGCUUCCAGCUUGUUGAGUGAUCAGUUCCAGACUUGGAAGAUUUUAGGUGUUCACAAAGGUUUUUAUCUAGAUGUGUUACUUAUUCAAAUAUUAUUGUUUGUAGCCAAUGAUGUAUUUUUUUAGCUAUUUUGCAUAAGUAUUUCAAAUAGCCGAAUACCUUUUCUAUUAAUUAUCACCUUUCUUCAGCAUAUCCCAAUAAGGACCAGCUCCAUUACUAUACUAGCAGUGGUCAUAAAAGUUUUUUUUUUUUUUUGCAAAGCCAUGCUAACAUUAUAAUCCUAUGCAUAUAUGAUAGCAAUAGUUUUUAUUGUGCCCAGAGGAAUUUGCUGCCCUGUGUAAAGGAUUCUGGCUUAAUGUCCAUGUUUCAAUAUUUGAUAGAAAUAAUACAUUCAGUAGUAACACUUGGUUGGUAGUGUUCUGAUCAAAAGGUGAAUUCUGGAAUCUGUGUAAGUGAAAUAUCAGAGAAUGUAUUUCUAACGUUUCUUUAAAUACAUUUUGCAAUCCUGCCGAUCAGCAGUUUUAUUGUAAGGGAAGGUUCUAAAUCCAGCCUUAUUAAAAAGCCAUUUGAUUGAAUUUCAUCUUUAAAGGGAGAGAAAAAGAUACAUACAUGGAUUAAAGCUGUUGAAGUGUCACUGAUGACGUAUGGCAUGUGUGAUUAAACAAUAGUAAAAUGCUAUUGUGGACUAGAACUGGAUUUAGUUACAUGGUUGGUUUAAGUAUUAACAAUGCUUAGCUUUUCCAAGAUCAUUCCUUGUAUUUAUUAAGUACAAGCCUUGUCAUUCUUUCAUAUGUCCCCAAUGGCGUUUCAGUUUCCUUGCUUUUAAAUCACUGUAAUAGGAAAAAUACCACCACCCAUAUAUCUUUAAAUAUAGUUAGGCGCUAUUUAAUAAAGCAUAAUCAGUAUGUCAUCACUAUAUAGAUUUUUCUUUUCUUUCCCUCUGCCUCAGAAAGCAUACAUGACUAAAAUUUUGGUCUGCAUGUACUAUUUCAAAAGUGUUUUUAAAAACAAGAGUAAUUUUUAAAAAUAACUUUCAAGUGCUAAUUUGUUUUAUACAAGUCUCUUGGUAAACAGAACAAAAAGCAAUACAUAUAUACAUUUUUCAAGUAGAUUUGGGAUUUUUCAACCCCUUUGAUAAAUGGCUAACAUUGAACAAAGCAAUACAUAAAAAUAUGCAAAAAAAAUCAAAAAGUACACAUUAGAAAUGCAUUUUAAACCCUUUCCCUUUAUCUUAAGCUGACAAAUACUUAAAAUAAUUUAUUUGCCUGUAAACAAGAUAAAAGACAAAUUCCCAAAUUGCAAGCUAUCAUCCUUAAUCCAAUGUAUCUUACCCUUUUGUUUCUUGUAAUUGGCAGCAUUUCUACUUUUGCAACAAGAUGUUGCACAUGUAGUUUCCCAAACAUCUCUCUAUCAGCUCAUAAUGUAUUAAUAAUAAAAGAUGGAUUCAUACCAA